GAUGAACGCUGGCGGCGUGCUUAACACAUGCAAGUCGAGCGUUGAAGUUUUCUUCGGGAAACGGAUUAGCGGCGGACGGGUGAGUAACACGUGGGUAACCUGCCUCAUAGAGUGGAAUAGCCUUUCGAAAGGAAGAUUAAUACCGCAUAAUGUUGAAAGAUGGCAUCAUCAUUCAACCAAAGGAGCAAUCUGCUAUGAGAUGGACCCGCGGCGCAUUAGCUAGUUGGUGGGGUAACGGCCUACCAAGGCGACGAUGCGUAGCCGACCUGAGAGGGUGGUCGGCCACAUUGGGACGGAGACACGGCCCAGACUCCUACGGGAUGCAGCAGUGGGGAAUAUUGCACAAUGGGGGAAACCCUGAUGCAGCAACGCCGCGUGAGUGAUGAAGGUUGUCGGAUCGUAAAGCUCUGUCUUUGGGGAAGAUAAUGACGGUACCCAAGGAGGAAGCCACGGCUAACUACGUGCCAGCCGCCGCGGUAACAC
rnacentral:rRNA from 1 species